rnacentral:lncRNA from 1 species
ACCCAUUCUUGCUCUCUAACUACAGUUGAUGUGAAUAAAGAGAGGUUUUAGUUGACAACAAGCGAACAAGUUCUUUUUUUUAAGGCCCUAAUUAUAUGGGGUUUGUGUGUUUUGUUGUGUUAAAGCAUAUUUGGUGCAGGUGGUGUAAAUGAGAAGGUGGAGACGAGGCUGAAAUGGAAAGCUAAACAGAGAGAGACAGCAGAAUCAGCAGAUACAGCAUAUUCUGUCUCACUCUCGCUAUACAUGUGUGUGUGUCUAGAGAGAGUACCACACAACACUGU